rnacentral:rRNA from 1 species
GACGAACGCUGGCGGCAUGCCUAAUACAUGCAAGUCGAGCGAACAGAUGAAGUGCUUGCACUUCUGACGUUAGCGGCGAACGGGUGAGUAACACGUAAGGAAUCUACCUAUAAGCGGGGGAUAACAUUCGGAAACGGGUGCUAAUACCGCAUAAUAUCUUCUUCCGCAUGGAAGAAGAUUGAAAGACGGCUCUGCUGUCACUUAUAGAUGACCUUGCGGUGCAUUAGUUAGUUGGUGGGGUAACGGCCUACCAAGACGAUGAUGCAUAGCCGACCUGAGAGGGGGAUCGGCCACAUUGGGACUGAGACACGGCCCAAACGCCUACGGGAGGCAGCAGUAGGGAAUCUUCCGCAAUGGGCGAAAGCCUGACGGAGUAAUGCCGCGUGAGUGAAGAAGGCCUUCGGGUCGUAAAACUCUGUUAUAAGAGAAGAACAAAUUGUAGAGUAACUGCUACAGUCUUGACGGUAUCUGAUCAGAAAGCCACGGCUAACUACGUG